UACGGGGGGGGCAAGCGUUGUUCGGAAUUACUGGGCGUAAAGCGCACGUAGGCGGAUCCUUAAGUCGGGGGUGAAAUCCUGGAGCUCAACUCCAGAACUGCCUUCGAUACUGAGGAUCUCGAGUCCGGGAGAGGUGAGUGGAACUGCGAGUGUAGAGGUGAAAUUCGUAGAUAUUCGCAAGAACACCAGUGGCGAAGGCGGCUCACUGGCCCGGUACUGACGCUGAGGUGCGAAAGCGUGGGGAGCAAACAGG
rnacentral:rRNA from 1 species